GGGGGCGAACUGGGUUCGACCGGGCAGUCUGAAGUGUGAGUGGCGUGCCGUGGUUGGUCAGUUGGCCACGUUAAAAGCUGACCGCCUAUCUUCAAUUGCCGAAGAUAACCUCGUUUUGGCUGCCUAGUAACAGGCAUCCCCGGCUGCGGGACUUUGUCGGAGAGGACCAAAAGCCGGUUGCAAAAUCCGAAUCGCCUUGGAUCACCGUCGGGCACGUCCCAGGCUAAAAACUGUUCCUGACUAGCCCGCCAGGCGCCCCGUCGGUUGGGGGUCGGCGAGCGAACCGCGGAAAUGAUCCGACUACGCACGUAGAAGCUUGCAUGGAAAUGCUACGGGACGCGGGUUCGAUUCCCGCCGCCUCCACUU
rnacentral:tmRNA from 1 species